GCUCGCCUCUCUCCUUCCAGUACCUAUUGCAUGACCCCCCACGUCCGCCUCCCGCCAUUGCCAGCAAGCGCCUCGCGCGGGUACCUGGCUGCGCUUAUUAAUCCGUUAAGCUCGCUCUGUCACGGGCGCCGUGAUGUGCUCACGCGCCCGCUCCCUCAGGUUUAAAAGGCGCGUUGCCCGGCAACAGAAGAAACUGCUGGCUUAGCCGUUGGCCGAGUUGGCGGCUGGACGAGGACGCUCAGAGCCCAGCUCUCGAGAGUUCAAGCAACCGACGGUUCCCCACUGCUCCCAGGAGCGGUUACCUGGGCACUCUGUGCCCCUCCUUCCUGUUCGGGCCCAGGCCGAGGACCUGCCAGUAGGGCUCAGUUGCCUGGAGCCCGUUCAGCCCAUCCCCCAGUUCACUUUGCCUGUGGGAUCUCCCCGUUGCUCCUGCCCGUGGACUGAGUGGCAGGCCAUCCUACAAGCACCCGGACACUUGACAUCAGUGGUGUCAAGACAACUCUAAGAAGGUUUUCCGUGAUCCUGCAAGCCCUGCCUUCCUUCCUGGGAUCCUGCCUUCAAUUUGAUUGCACAGGUACCACAGCAAGCCAGUGCUGUGUGCUCCGAGUUCCAGGGCGUCCUCCAGCUCAGCCACUGCACUGAGAACAUGGACUCUCUGUGGGGCCCAGGAGCCGGGAGUCACCCCUUUGGGGUCCACAACACCCGGCUGUCCCCAGACUUGUGUCCAGGGAAGAUAGUGUUGAGGGCCCUCAAGGAGAGCGGGGCAGGGAUGCCUGAGCAGGACAAGGACCCUAGAGUCCAAGAGAAUCCUGGUGAUCAGAGAAGGGUCCCCGAGGUCACCGGGGAUGCACCGUCUGCAUUUCGGCCCCUGCGGGACAAUAGAGGCCUCUCUCCCUUUGUGCCCGGGCCCGGGCCUCUGCAGACAGACCUCCAUGCCCAGAGGUCAGAAAUCAGAUAUAACCAGACAUCCCAGACCUCCUGGACGAGCUCCUGCACCAACCGAAAUGCCAUCUCCAGCUCCUACAGCUCCACGGGAGGCUUGCCGGGGCUAAAGCGGAGGAGGGGGCCAGCCUCAUCCCACUGCCAGCUGACCCUCAGUUCCUCAAAGACAGUGAGUGAGGACAGGCCUCAGGCUGUCUCUUCAGGUCACACCCAGUGUGAAAAGGCAGCAGAUAUAGCACCAGGGCAGACACUCGCCCUCAGGAAUGACUCCUCCACAUCCGAGGCCUCUAGGCCCAGUACACACAAGUUUCCCCUGCUGCCACGCAGGCGAGGGGAGCCUUUGAUGCUGCCACCUCCCUUAGAGCUGGGGUACCGGGUCACUGUUGAAGACCUGGACCGGGAGAAGGAGGCGGCAUUCCAGCGCAUCAACAGUGCACUGCAGGUUGAGGACAAGGCCAUCUCGGACUGCAGACCCUCACGACCUUCCCACACUUUGUCCUCACUUGCAACAGGGACUUCUGGUCUGCCUGCCAUUUCUAAAGCACCCAGUAUGGAUGUACAGCAGGAGACACACAAGUCCCAAGACUGCCUGGGCCUACUGGCCCCCUUAGCAUCUGCUGCAGGUGUCCCCUCUACAGCUCCCAUGUCUGGGAAGAAGCACAAACCACCAGGCCCCCUGUUCUCCUCCUCAGAUCCCCUUCCUGCCACCUCUUCCCAUUCCCAGGACUCAGCCCAGGUCACCUCGCUGAUUCCUGCCCCCUUCCCAGCUGCAAGCAUGGAUGUGGGCAUGAGAAGAACAAGGUGUGGCACUUCUGCUCCUGCAGCUGCCGCAGCAGCCCCUCCCCCCUCCACAUUGAACCCCACGUUGGGGUCACUACUGGAGUGGAUGGAGGCCCUUCACAUUUCUGGGCCUCAGCCACAGCUGCAGCAGGUGCCCAGAGGUCAGAACCAGAGAUCCCAGACCUCCCGGACCAGCUCGUGCCCCAAACGAAAUGCCAUCUCGAGCCCCUACCGCUCUACGGGAGGCCUCCCGGAACGAAAGCGGAGAAGGGGGCCAGCCUCAUCCCACUGCCAGCUGAACCUCAGUUCCUGAAACACAUAGGACCCAGGGUGCGUGCCCAUCUCCAGCCCAGGGCAGCUCCCCUGUAAGCUGGGUGAGCUACUGAAGCCAAGGCGGGAGGCAGCUGACAACACCCACAGCCCAUGCGGAGGUGGUGGAAAGGCUGAACUCAGCAGCAACACCAAAUCCUGGACCAGGCAAAAACCACCCAAGACUGAGGGGCUCGUGCCAGAGCGGUGGCCACAGCCCCACCCCACCGGCUCAGGGGUUCUUCCCAGCGGCGCUGAUCAUGAAGUCAACAUGCACGCAAGUCGUCUCAGGAAACUUCUUAAUGAAAGUGUCGGCCACGGUGGUGUGUAGGUGGCUGAGCUCAGAUUGCAGCUGCUAAGACACCAGCCACUUACCAAGAGAAAGCCAGGCUGCUUCAAACCCAGGGCCCACGGCAAAAAAGCAUCACUUCCGGCCGGGGAGUCUGGAAGCCACGCCUUGUGGGAGGUCACACUGGCAUCUAGGCCUUCGCCUGCAUUGCAGAAGGAGAGCCGGGUCCCCCUCCUGGAGAACGCUGCGUUCCCCAGCCCCACACCGGCUUUGCCACCACACAGGCUGUUGAGGCAGGAGGCGGAGACUUCAGAACCCACUCCUGAGAACAGCGGAGCCAGGCGCUUAGAGGAAGACCAAAUGCUGCCAGGACACGGAUUGUCCAGGAUUACAUUCCAGCAUCUUAUUAGAGGACCGAAGCAGAGGGUGCUGUUUCAACGCCACCACCAGGAGAGAGGCAGAGGGGCUGUGCCGUGCUAGAGUCCUCAGGGAGGGAGUGACCUCGACCCUGGCUGUGCUGCAAGCUGACUCCAGCCUUGGGGUCAGCAGCACCCGGCAAACAGCAGCAGGAGGAGCCGCUAGAGCAGCUGCUCAUGGGCAGAGCUGCCCUCGGGCAACUCCUGCCACCACCCCCUCCCCAGGGAGCCCAAGGCAGGGGAGGCUCAGCAUGGAAUGAAACAGGGGAGUGAGGGACACAAGGAGGUGGGAAGUGGGAGGGUCCCAGCCCCACCAAGUACGCAGAGAACCCCUCGUUGUCCUGGACACCACAGGGGCACCUGCAGGCUGGGAGACCAGGUCCUCUGUGCAUGGGCCCGGGAGGCAGACCUGCCCUAAGGGUGAUGCACAGGCUACAGGUGCUGCACGCUCCAGCGCCCACUCUAGACAUCAGCCUCCAGGUUGACUAAGGGUCAGGUCAUGUUUGAAACCAUGCUUGGCUGGACCAGGACCCAUGGCAAGAGCACCUGGGCACCAGUGUUUAGCCCUGGUCUGCAGGAAGGAGGACAGCAGACUUUAGGACCCCACAGCACGGCAGUGCUGACCAUUUCACCCACUUGGCCUCCUUGAGAAAUAUGGAUGGGGACCCCUCUGGGGAUGGGCAAGGCCUUCCAGGAUAGGCUCAGUUUUGGUCCCCUGCUUUUUGAGGUUGGGUUAAAAUUCCGACCAUGGCAGAGGAAGCACAGCUCAGGUUCCCACACCUCACUUUUCACAGCCUCUGAGGGCAGCAGUGCACGUGGAGGAGACGUCUCCCAUGAGGCCAAGGCCUCCAGUGCUCACCGAUGCCCUCUGCGAAGUUGGGGUAGAACUCGUCAGUGAAGAGGGGCUCGGGCAGCUCACGGAAAUACAGCUUCAGCGUGCCUGCGAUGGCGUUCACGUCCAUCUCGCUCAUCAUCACCGACACGUCCUUGUUAUCUGGAAAGAGCACGGAAAUGCAGCGGCCUCCUUGAAGAUCCUGAUAAAUGAAGAAAAGACACAGAGAAGGAUGUGACAUGCCUGGGCCGUGGAGCACUCUGAGAUCUCAUCGCGGACACCACUGCCCACACCUCCAUCCCGUCCUGCGCAGGCCGACACUCACUGACGUUGAAGGCUGCCUUCAGUGCCUGGAUGUCUGCGGCCACCCCAGACAUGCGGUAGAUGCCCACCUCCUCCAUGCCUCGGCGCUCGAUCUCCUCCACGCACUGGCGCACGAUGUAGGGCACCUUGGACCUCUCUCUCCUGCGGGAGGAGGGAAUGUUCUCAGUGUCCUAACAGCCCUGCUUGGGCCAUAACACAGGAGACCUGCUCCCUAUGUGCACACCCGGAGGUGGGGUGAGGACGGUGAUGAAGGUACCCAGGUCUGGGGCUGCACACAGAGCCUUCUGCAUGCCUGUCCUCCCUCUGCAAGCUCUGUCCUCAUUGCAUGUGCUUUCUCAGGAACCUUUCAAGCGGCCAGAACCCCUGCAAAUCACACAUGACCUUUGUGGGAAGGUCAGGAGGCCUGUCUAAGUCAAGUCAGCACGGGAAGGGCAUCUGACAGAUUCCAGGCCUGGGGUGAGCAGCCUGUGCCCCCGGCUGGGAGGUCAGACCCGGUGUUGGUCCUGCCACCCACGUGCUGUGUGAGAGGAGAAUCCGUGACCCCUGCCCUGGGCCUUAACACACAUCCGACGAAUGAAUGAAGGGUUGCCUCAGCACCGGUGCUCCAAGUCCUGCGAUGCUAAGUGCUUUUCUCCUCUGAGUCUUAGCAAUGGACAAUUCCAAUACCUCCACACAGGACACUAGAGUAAGAAUCCUUCACAGUUAGAACGCAGUGCUGUGCGGAGGCCUUAACUUGAGUUCUGUUUUGCACCUGGAUUUACCAGCACAUCAAAGCUGCUUCGCAAGCCCCCUCAUCAGCAGGGCUCAUGUGGGGGAGCUGCUGAUGGAGUCCUCGCUGCUCAUGCCCACAGCCCUCCCAGAGUGCUAUGCGAGUGGCUGCCGUGCAGUUGGGGGUGGGGCGUGGUGUUUAGACACAGAUAGGAGUCCAGGGUAUGACUGAUGGAGGCCCCGGCCCACGUGACCAGCAAGGUCAGAGGCCCAGCCAGAUUCCAUCCUGAGGAAGCAAAUGAAUUCUCAGAGGAAGUGGUCUGUGUCUGCAUGAACUGCUCUCAAACCAACAAAUAGGCUUCUCUUGGCAACUGACUCGUGACAAAGGGUUCAAGAUUGUUUGAAAAAAAAAAAGGGGGGGGGGGGACAGGGAGGCAGUAGGUCCUGGAAAAGUAAAUUCUUUAUUUUACAAUAAGAAAGUGAUUACAUAUUUUAUUUUUUUUUACAAUGGUGGAAAAUUAGAAGUGAUUGUGAAAAUGAUGUCUACCCGCCUUGCUGAUGAGUAGGAUGUGAUUUGGCUCUUUAGGAAACUGAAUUUGCAGAACUUAAGAAUAUUGAUUUAUAAAGGGCAUGGCCAUUGACCCAGUCCAUCUUAUGCAAAUCUGGAUGCCAUAAAUAAUAUUUAAAAAUGAAAGUAUUGGGGUGGAGGUUGCAGUGAGCGGAGAUCGCCCCACUACACUCCAGCCUGGUCAACAGAGUGAGACUCUGUCUCAAAACAAAAAAAAAAAAAAAAAAAGAAGAAGUCAUUCCCAACAUUGCUCAUCAAAUUAUGACCAUAAAUUUCCAGGAUCAGACUAACGGCUAAAGAGACUGAUGCAUCAACACCAGGCAGAGAAUAAAGCAGAUUUUUUUUGUUUUGUUUUGGAGAGCCUCUAGGAACUUGAAAAAUACAUAUGCCACACUCUUAAGACCCGGUGGUUCUUAAUCAGGGAUGUUCAUUAAAAUGCUGGAAAACUCUAAAGAUUUCCAGGUCCCAUCCAAGGAGAUUUUGCUUCUGAUUGACUGGCUAGUGGCCUGGCCAUUGGUAUUUUGAAAAAUCCCUCCAAGUGAUUCUUUUACAUCCCAGCUAGAAAACCCUAAAUUAAAGGUGAAAAACCAGACACCAAGUGGCAUUUAAAUAAAUGUCAACUUUAACUCCACAAAGCAUCUGGUUGCAUGUGGACAGAAAGAGAAGGAAAGAGGGCCCUAUAUCUGGAUAACUUGGAAAUGUGCUCCCCCUAGCAAGAUAUCUACCAAAAUUAAAACCAUAUUUGAGGAUGCUGGCACUGUGAGCAAUAUAUAAAUGAUGCAUGUAACAUCAUUUAAUAUGAUCUUAUUUUUAAAAAUGAGUAGAGUGGUGUUUUCUAGCUGUUAGUGUUUCCAAAUAUCAAUGUAGAAAUUAGCCUUCUGCAGCUGCAGAGGCAAUUCAGUUUGCAGCUUGCUUGCAUGUGGCCUAGAGCCACCCAGCCUGAUAUGUACUAAUUUUUUAUGUUUAACUUGCCAGAGUAGAAACUCAGUUUCUGGGCGAGGCAUAGUGGCUCAUGCCUGUAAUCCCAGAACUUUGGGAGGCCAAGGCAAGCAGAUCACAAGGUCGGGAGUUCAAGACCAGCCUGGCUGACAUAGUGAAACCCUAUCUUUGCUAAAAAUACAAAAAUUAGCCCGGCAUGGUGGCAGGCACCUGUAGUCCCAGCUACUUGGGAGGCUGAGGCAGGAGAAUCACUUGAACCUGGGAGGCAGAGGUUGUGGUGAACUGAGAUCAUGCCCCUGCACUCCAGCCUGGGCAACAGAGUGAGACUCCAUCUCAAAAAAAAAAAAAAA